rnacentral:rRNA from 1 species
UGCUGAUUUGCUGACGAGUGGCGGACGGGUGAGUAAUGUCUGGGAAACUGCCUGAUGGAGGGGGAUAACUACUGGAAACGGUAGCUAAUACCGCAUAACGUCGCAAGACCAAAGAGGGGGACCUUCGGGCCUCUUGCCAUCGGAUGUGCCCAGAUGGGAUUAGCUAGUAGGUGGGGUAACGGCUCACCUAGGCGACGAUCCCUAGCUGGUCUGAGAGGAUGACCAGCCACACUGGAACUGAGACACGGUCCAGACUCCUACGGGAGGCAGCAGUGGGGAAUAUUGCACAAUGGGCGCAAGCCUGAUGCAGCCAUGCCGCGUGUAUGAAGAAGGCCUUCGGGUUGUAAAGUACUUUCAGCGGGGAGGAAGGGAGUAAAGUUAAUACCUUUGCUCAUUGACGUUACCCGCAGAAGAAGCACCGGCUAACUCCGUGCCAGCAGCCGCGGUAAUACGGAGGGUGCAAGCGUUAAUCGGAAUUACUGGGCGUAAAGCGCACGCAGGCGGUUUGUUAAGUCAGAUGUGAAAUCCCCGGGCUCAACCUGGGAACUGCAUCUGAUACUGGCAAGCUUGAGUCUCGUAGAGGGGGGUAGAAUUCCAGGUGUAGCGGUGAAAUGCGUAGAGAUCUGGAGGAAUACCGGUGGCGAA